UUACACACAGCACCUCAGACCUC
rnacentral:siRNA from 1 species